rnacentral:rRNA from 1 species
AGAGCGAACGCUGGCGGCAGGCUUAACACAUGCAAGUCGAGCGGGCGUAGCAAUACGUCAGCGGCAGACGGGUGAGUAACGCGUGGGAACGUACCUUUUGGUUCGGAACAACCCAGGGAAACUUGGGCUAAUACCGGAUAAGCCCUUACGGGGAAAGAUUUAUCGCCGAAAGAUCGGCCCGCGUCUGAUUAGCUAGUUGGUGAGGUAAUGGCUCACCAAGGCGACGAUCAGUAGCUAGUCUGAGAGGAUGAUCAGCCACAUUGGGACUGAGACACGGCCCAAACUCCUACGGGAGGCAGCAGUGGGGAAUAUUGGACAAUGGGCGCAAGCCUGAUCCAGCCAUGCCGCGUGAGUGAUGAAGGCCCUAGGGUUGUAAAGCUCUUUUGUGCGGGAAGAUAAUGACGGUACCGCAAAAUAAGCCCCGGCUAACUUCGCGCCAGCAGCCGC